GACAGAGGCCUCAAGCGUUAGGCGGAAUCACUGGGCUUAAAGCGUGUGUAGGCGGAUCGUUAAGUGUCUUGUGAAAUCCCACGGCUCAACCGUGGAACUGCUGGGCAUACUGGAAGUCUUGGGCCAUCUAGGGGCAACCGGAACAAGCGGUGGAGCGGUGAAAUGCGUAGAUAUCGCUUGGAACGCCAAAGGUGAAGACAGGUUGCUGGAGAUGUGCCGACACUGAGACGCGAAAGCCAGGGGAGCAAACGGG
rnacentral:rRNA from 1 species